UGGCGAAUGGGUGCGUAACACGUAGGUGACCUGCCCGGAAGUGGGGAAUAACAGUCCGAAAGGACUGCUAAUACCGCACGCGGUGCGCGGGUUUUGAAACCGCGUUCCAAAGGUGCAAGCAAUUGUGCCGCUUUCGGAGGGGCCUGCGGCCCAUCAGCUAGUUGGUAGGGUAACGGCCUACCAAGGCAACGACGGGUAGGGGACCUGAGAGGGUGACCCCCCACACUGGCACUGACACACGGGCCAG
rnacentral:rRNA from 1 species